rnacentral:rRNA from 1 species
UACGUAGGAGGCGAGCGUUGUCCGGAUUUACUGGGCGUAAAGCGCGCGCAGGCGGCAUGGCAAGUAAGGUGUGAAAUCUCCCUGCCUAACGGGGAGGGUGCACUUUAGACUGCCAAGCUAGAGGACGGUAGAGGAAGGUGGAAUUCCCGGUGUAGCGGUGAAAUGCGUAGAGAUCGGGAGGAACACCAGUGGCGAAGGCGGCCUUCUGGACCAGCACUGACACUCAAGCACGAAAGCGUGGGGAGCAAACAGG